AGUGAACGCUGGCGGUAGGCCUAACACAUGCAAGUCGAACGGCAGCACAGAGGAGCUUGCUCCUUGGGUGGCGAGUGGCGGACGGGUGAGGAAUACAUCGGAAUCUACCCUGUCGUGGGGGAUAACGUAGGGAAACUUACGCUAAUACCGCAUACGACCUUCGGGUGAAAGAGGGGGCUCGCAAGACCUCUCGCGAUUGGAUGAGCCGAUGUCGGAUUAGCUAGUUGGCGGGGUAAAAGCCCACCAAGGCGACGAUCCGUAGCUGGUCUGAGAGGAUACACAGCCACACUGGAACUGGGGCACGGUCCAGACUCCUGCGGGAGGCAGCAGGGGGGAAUAUGGGACUAGGGGGGCAAGCCUGAUCCAGCCAUACCGCGUGGGUGAAGAAGGCCUGCGGGUUGUAAAGCCCUUUUGUUGGGAAAGAAAUCCAGCCGGCUAAUACCUGGUUGGGAUGACGGUACCCAAAGAAUAAGCACCGGCUAACUUCGUGCCAGCAGCCGCAGUAACAC
rnacentral:rRNA from 1 species